CCUACGGGAGGCAGCAGUGGGGAAUAUUGGGCAAUGGAGGAAACUCUGACCCAGCAACGCCGCGUGAAUGAUGAAGGUCUUCGGAUUGUAAAGUUCUUUUCUAAGGGAAGAAGAAAGUGACGGUACCUUAGGAAUAAGCCUCGGCUAACUACGUGCCAGCAGUCGCGGCAAUACGUAGGAGGCAAGCGUUAUCCGGAAUGACUGGGCGUAAAGGGUGCGUAGGUGGUUUGACGAGUUGGUAGCGUAAUUCCGGGGCUCAACCUCGGCAGUACGACCAAAACUGGCGGGCUUGAGUGCAGGAGAGGCAAAUGGAAUUCGUGGUGUAGCGGUGGAAUGCGUAGAUAUUAGGAAGAACACCAGUGGCGAAGGCGGUUUACUGGACUGUAACUGACACUGUGGCACGAAAGCGUGGGGAGCAAACAGGAUUAGAUACCCGAGUAGUC
rnacentral:rRNA from 1 species